rnacentral:rRNA from 1 species
UACGUAGGGUGCAAGCGUUAUCCGGAAUUAUUGGGCGUAAAGAGCUCGUAGGCGGUUUGUCGCGUCUGCUGUGAAAACUGGGGGCUCAACCCCCAGCCUGCAGUGGGUACGGGCAGACUAGAGUGCGGUAGGGGAGACUGGAAUUCCUGGUGUAGCGGUGAAAUGCGCAGAUAUCAGGAGGAACACCGGGUGGCGAAGGCGGGGUCUCUGGGCCGUAACUGACGC